rnacentral:rRNA from 1 species
AAUUUUGGACAAUGGGGGAAACCCUGAUCCAGCCAUCCCGCGUGUGCGAUGAAGGCCUUCGGGUUGUAAAGCACUUUUGGCAGGGAAGAAAAGGUUCUGGCUAAUACUCGGAACUGCUGAUGCUACCUUCAGAAUAAGUACCGGCAAACUACGUGCCAGCAGCCGCGGUAAUACGUAGGGUGCAAGCGUUAAUCGGAAUUACUGGGUGUAAAGCGGGCGCGAGCGGUUUGGCGAGAAGGAUGUGAAAUCCCCGGGCUUAACCAUGGAACUGCAUUCUUAACUGCCAGGCUAGAGUAUGUCAGAGGGGGGUAGAAUUCCGCGUGUAGCAGUGAAAUGCGUAGAGAUGCAGAGGAAUACCGAUGGCGAAGGCAGCCCCCUGGGAUAAUACUGACGCUCAUGCACGAAAGCGUGGGGAGCAAAC